rnacentral:rRNA from 1 species
UGGGGAAUUUUUCGCAAUGGGGGAAACCCUGACGAAGCAACGCCGCGUGGAGGAUGAAGGCCUUCGGGUCGUAAACUCCUGUCGACCGGGAAGAAUGCACCUGACCUAAUACGUCGGCGUGUUGACUGUACCGGUGGAGGAAGCCACGGCUAACUCUGUGCCAGCAGCCGCGGUAAUACAGAGGUGGCAAGCGUUGUUCGGAAUUACUGGGCGUAAAGGGCGCGUAGGCGGCCCGUCAAGUCCCGUGUGAAAGCCCCCGGCUCAACCGGGGAACGGCGCGGGAAACUAGCAGGCUUGAGUUCGGGAGAGGGAAGCGGAAUUCCGGGUGUAGCGGUGAAAUGCGCAGAUAUCCGGAGGAACACCGGUGGCGAAGGCGGCUUCCUGGACCGACACUGACGCUGAGGCGCGAAAGCUAGGGGAGCAAACGGG